rnacentral:rRNA from 1 species
CAGUCGAGCGGUAGAGAGAAGCUUGCUUCUCUUGAGAGCGGCGGACGGGUGAGUAAUGCCUAGGAAUCUGCCUGGUGGUGGGGGAUAACGUUCGGAAACGGACGCUAAUACCGCAUACGUCCUACGGGAGAAAGCGGGGGACCUUCGGGCCUCGCGCCAUUAGAUGAGCCUAGGUCGGAUUAGCUUGUUGGUGAGGUAAUGGCUCACCAAGGCGACGAUCCGUAACUGGUCUGAGAGGAUGAUCAGUCACACUGGAACUGAGACACGGUCCAGACUCCUACGGGAGGCAGCAGUGGGGAAUAUUGGACAAUGGGCGAAAGCCUGAUCCAGCCAUGCCGCGUGUGUGAAGAAGGUCUUCGGAUUGUAAAGCACUUUAAGUUGGGAGGAAGGGUAGUAACUUAAUACGUUGCUACUUUGACGUUACCGACAGAAUAAGCACCGGCUAACUUCGUGCCAGCAGCCGCGGUAAUACGAAGGGUGCAAGCGUUAAUCGGAAUUACUGGGCGUAAAGCGCGCGUAGGUGGUUCAGUAAGUUGGAAGUGAAAUCCCCGGGCUCAACCUGGGAACUGCUUUCAAAACUGCUGAGCUAGAGUACGGUAGAGGGUAGUGGAAUUUCCUGUGUAGCGGUGAAAUGCGUAGAUAUAGGAAGGAACACCAGUGGCGAAGGCGACUACCUGGACUGAUACUGACACUGAGGUGCGAAAGCGUGGGGAGCAAACAGGAUUAGAUACCCUGGUAGUCCACGCCGUAAACGAUGUCAACUAGCCGUUGGGUUCCUUGAGAACUUAGUGGCGCAGCUAACGCAUUAAGUUGACCGCCUGGGGAGUACGGCCGCAAGGUUAAAACUCAAAUGAAUUGACGGGGGCCCGCACAAGCGGUGGAGCAUGUGGUUUAAUUCG